rnacentral:lncRNA from 1 species
GGUGGAGAACACAGGUGCGCUCCUGGAAGUCGGAUGCUUAAGAGAAAGAGUGAAAAGCUCAUUGUAGUAGAAAGAUAGAAGUCGAAGAAGCCCGGAAAGAAGAGAUGAGGGCUGGAGAGCUGGCCGAGCCGGCAAGUGUCUGCAGAGAAAGCAUGAGCGAUUGAGUUUGUCUCAGAAGCCAGACAUGGUGGCGUGUGUUUAUAAUCCCAGCUCUGGGGAGAUGGAGACAGGCAGAUCCCCGGAGCUUGCUGGACAGCUAGCCCAUACCUAUGGGUAAGUCCCAGAUCAAUGAAAGACUAUCACAAACCAGGUUUCUUUCUUCUUCAAAACAAAACAGAACACAUGCCUUUACUCUCCCUUUAGUAGUGGGAACAGACAUGAGUGGUGCUCCUGUUCUCCACGUUGACUGGAUGUUCCAUGCACUUUUCUUUCCUGAUUUAAUCUUGAAAUCUUGAACAUCAUCAUACUUCUAAGGUUCUCCAUGGAGGCUCCAGCUACUCAAGACAUCAUCCUCCUGGUGGGUGAAUCAGCACCAAUGUUUCCUGAGCCAUCAUGAUGCAAGUAGAAUGACCAAGUCAGCCUGACUUCUUCAUUUUGAACCACAGCCUCAGUUGAGCACCUUGAUCAUUUGAAGUCCUUAUUCAUAUCUUCAGCUGAUUCUCGGCCUAUGAUCUCCUCCAGCUGGGGUGUCACCUUUACUGAAGGAGCAGGACCUUCUUCAGUAUCAUCAUGCCAUGUUGGAGUUUCUGCCCCCCCCACCCCCGCUCCUGUCCAUCUUAUCUGAAGUUGUGCAAGUCUAGAGACAGAUGUAGAGUGGGCACUGAGCCACUACAUCUUCCACUAUGUCUUCAUUAGGCAUGGUACCCAACACCCCCUACCUAACCUAUUCCACUUCUCCAUGGUCCCAAAGGUCCCUUUUGGCAGGAGCUACCCAAA